CGAUCUGUAGCUGGUCUGAGAGGACGACCAGCCACACUGGAACUGAGACACGGUCCAGACUCCUACGGGAGGCAGCAGUGGGAUUUGGACAAUGGGCGCAAGCCUGAUCCAGCCAUUCCGCGUGCAGGAUGAAGGCCUUCGGGUUGUAAACUGCUUUUGUACGGAACGAAACGGCGAGCUCUAAUACAGUUUGCUAAUGACGGUACCGUAAGAAUAAGCACCGGCUAACUACGUGCCAGCAGCCGCGGUAAUACGUAGGGUGCAAGCGUUAAUCGGAAUUACUGGGCGUAAAGCGUGCGCAGGCGGUUAUAUAAGACAGAUGUGAAAUCCCCGGGCUCAACCUGGGAACUGCAUUUGUGACUGUAUGGCUAGAGUACGGCAGAGGGGGAUGGAAUUCCGCGUGUAGCAGUGAAAUGCGUAGAUAUGCGGAGGAACACCGAUGGCGAAGGCAAUCCCCUGGGCCUGUACUGACGCUCAUUGCACGAAAGCGUGGGGAGCA
rnacentral:rRNA from 1 species